GUCUACAUAGAUUAUGUUGAAAUCAUGAUGCUGUUAACUUCAAGAAGAGCUUAUGCUUUGUAGUCG
rnacentral:tRNA from 1 species